UCGGGUAAGUUCCGACUGCACGAAUGGCGUAACGACUUCUCUGCUGUCUCAACCACAGACUCGGCGAAUUGCAUUACGAGUAAGAUGCUCGUUACGCGCGGCAGGACGAAAGACCCCGACCUUCACUAUAGCUAUAGCUUGUAUUGGUGUUCGGUUUCGGUUUGUGUAGGAUAGGUGGGAGACUGUGAAGCGGGCACGCCAGUGUUCGUGGAGUCGUUGUUGAAAUACCACUCUGAUCGUAUUGGACAUCUAACCUCGGACCAUGAUCUGGUUCAGGACAGUGCCUGGUGGGUAGUUUAACUGGGGCGGUUGCCUCCCAAAAUGUAACGGAGGCGCCCAAAGGUUCCCUCAGCCUGGUUGGCAAUCAGGUGUCGAGUGCAAGUGCACAAGGGAGCUUGACUGUGAGACUGACAGGUCGAGCAGGGACGAAAGUCGGGACUAGUGAUCCGGCACCGGCAAGUGGAAGCGGUGUCGCUCAACGGAUAAAAGGUACCCGGGGAUAACAGGCUGAUCUUCCCAAGAGUCCAUAUCGACGGGAUGGUUUGGCACCUCGAUGUCGGCUCGUCGCAUCCUGGGGCUGGAGUAGGUCCCAAGGGUUGGGCUGUUCGCCCAUUAAAGCGGCACGCGAGCUGGGUUUAGAACGUCGUGAGACAGUUCGGUCUCUAUCCGCCGCGCGCGUUAGAAACUUGAGGAAGGCUGUCCCUAGUACGAGAGGACCGGGACGGACGAACCUCUGGUGUGCCAGUUGUUCCGCCAGGAGCACUGCUGGUUAGCUACGUUCGGAAGGGAUAACCGCUGAAAGCAUCUAAGCGGGAAGCCUGUUCCAAGAUGAGGUUUCUCACCCCCUCGAGGGGGUAAGGCCCCCGGCAGACCACCGGGUUGAUAGGCCAGAACUGGAAGCACAGUAAUGUGUGGAGGUGACUGGUACUAAUAGGCCGAGGACUUACCACAA
rnacentral:rRNA from 1 species